rnacentral:rRNA from 1 species
UACGUAGGGUGCGAGCGUUGUCCGGAAUCACUGGGCGUAAAGCGCACGUAGGCGGCUUUUUAAGUCAGGGGUGAAAUCCUGGAGCUCAACUCCAGAACUGCCUUUGAUACUGGGAAGCUUGAGUCCGGGAGAGGUGAGUGGAACUCCGAGUGUAGAGGUGAAAUUCGUAGAUAUUCGGAAGAACACCAGUGGCGAAGGCGGCUCACUGGCCCGGUACUGACGCUGAGGUGCGAAAGCGUGGGGAGCAAACAGG